AGGGGAAUCAGCUGGGUUUGGGGCUUAUUGACUUCAGCAGUGCUGCAGCCAAGAGCCUGAAACGUUUAUUUCUGAGUAUUCUUAGGCUGAGCUCCUUCCUUAGAGUUUACGAGCACCACUGCUUCAGCAAAGCUAUAACCAACAACUCUUUCUGCCUGGGAAUGGACUCAUAAGGCCCAGUUGGGAGAAUGACAGCUCUGCCCUACUGUGGGGAGCUCCUCUGAGGCCUGGUCCAAAGCACUGGUCUGGUAGACACGAGGUACCAACGCUUCCUGCUCCCUAUUGAUGUCACUUGGAGAUUUGAUUGUCAACAUCAUAAAAACAGCACCAGAAAAAGCCACAAGAUAUUGCAUAAAGCCCAGAAUGACUGAAAGUUGGUGGACUUUUUCAGGAGAUACAUUUUUUCACUGGUUUCUCAAACAGACCCUGCUUUUCUGAAAAAGGGAUAUGAGGACAAAUUCAGCUCGCAUCAUCCUCGGUUCCUUUGGCUGACAUGUAGCUUACUGUUGGAUGCAUUUCUGAAGUUCUUGAAGCAAUUGAAAAUGUUAUUCAAGAUGUAUUUGAAAGCUUGUCCAAACAACAAGCACCUGUUCUCACAGUGACUAGGAGAUCAGAUUGGAGGAAUAUUGAGUAAGUUUUAUAUAGUUUAAAGUCCUGCCUUAUGUUAUUAUAAAUGUCAUGAAUAUAAAUUUGAUUGUAUAAUGUCUAGAAAAGUUAAUCUUAUGUAGUUCUGUAAGUAUUAGAGUCAAUAUAUAAUUUGGCUUCUUAAAAAAAUAAUGGACAAAUAAAAAGUGGUGUUUAGUACUCAAUCUGCAUAGACAGGCACUGUGCAUUUAGUCAAAUAACAGCAGACCAUUAACAUAAAGGGGAAUGUAAAACUUCUGUAAAAGGGUCAGAAAGGAAAUAGGUCCUAUAUACAAUAAUUUUCUGGAUACGGUAGAAAACAGAAAUAAUACAUUUUAUUUGAUUAAAAAAAUAAAAAUCUUUUAGGCUGGAAACAAUUGCUAGCAAUUUCAUUUUCUAAUCAACUUUCUGUGCUUCCCAUUUUCUUUUUCUCUGCUUUUCUUCAUGGUAUCUUAUUUCUUCAAAUGACAGUGAUAAAGUUAUCCUCUCUGUAUUCUUCAGAGAAGAUACUGUUCUCUUACCUUCAUGUUGUGUCCGUGUACUUUUCCAAGUCCAUGACUAGCCAAAUAAAGUAAAACAAGUUUCUGAAUUGUUAUCUAAAUUUCAUAUCUCAUGCCAGUUUACCUAGACAGGAUCAGAGGAAAACAACCUGUCCUUUAUAACACAGAUCUACAGAAGUUGCCUGUGCAACAGUAUUUUUCCAAGGCACUCAUUUCAGCUGAAAAUACCUGAAACCAAGAAAGUAAUUGCUUUCUAUAAUAUGGAAGCAAAAUGAUAAAGGAAGAAACAAAUCUAAAUUCUUGUCUUGUAAUGGCUUUGGGCAUCAUUGGGUUAAAGGAUAUUUAGAUCAAUAAGAUUGCAGAGGUGCUUGUAAGUGGGCACAUUACAAACGUUCAGAUUGCAAAAGCACAGCAAACCUUCCAAGCAUUACACUUUGGUGAAAUACUCAUUUAAUGACAACAAUAAAUUUCUGUCAAUCAGAGAACCUGAAGGGCCUGAAGGUAAUCAGUUAACUGAAAUGCUAGUGAAUUUAGUCAUUUCUAUCCUGGUAGCUUGACAAAAAGUGUUUCACUCAGAUGUCUGUAAAAAUCAAAAACUAUAACAAAACUUUGCAAUUUUUGGCAGUCUUGGGGAAAAUGGCAUUCCAGGCUAGAAAAACAAAUGUGAGAUGUUAUUUGCCAUCAGAAUACAUAGGGGGCAAAAUGUUCAUAUUAAAACAUCACAGUAUGUUAAAAAUAAGAUUCAUCAAUCAAAUUUAAAAAGCUGAAACAUUAUUUAUGGUGGAGAAAUGUAAACUCAUGUAUUCAUUCCAUUACAAAAUGAUGUGCGUACUUGUUUAAUACAACAGGAUUUCUGAGGAGGUUAAAAUAAAAAUAAGUAAGCAAAUAAAAAUAAAAAGCACCCCUCCCCCCAAUGUAACAGGAAUGGUAGAAAAGAUAGUUAGUGGGGCUUAUUUUUCCUUAUUUAGGCAGCAUUUCCAUUCCUAAUCUGCACAACUGGAAUCUGCAGGGCAGGAGCUUGUGGAAAUGAGAGAAUGAAUUCAUGUUUGAAACGUUCCCUGUAAACAUAGAGAUAUUUACCUGAGAAUGAGGUCAAUCGGUGAGAAUGCCAGGCCUAAAGCAGUACAAUUGGUUUCCAUUGAGCAAAUUUAUGUUAAAAUAAAUACAUAAAUAAAUACAGUUUUCAUAGAGUGGAAAGAUUUUACAGAAAACUGUUCUGUUGGGAUAAAUGCAGUACUAGGAAAAAUCUGAUAUACAAAAAAUCUGUAUCUGAUAUACAGCUAGGUUAAGGUUUUCUUUCUGAGCUAUCUGUGUGAGUCAAACUGAUCUUAAAUAUAAUGUUUCUAAAAUGAAGUGUUCCUUAUUUACCCUAACAGAGCAAUCCGGCAAAGUUUCAUUCUGUGCAGUUACAGUGUAGGGAACAAGGCACACACACGUUUUCAAUGUUGCAGCACAAAGGCAAGAAAGUUGCUUUGAAGCAGAAAGGCAGAUGCUACACUAUGCCGUCUGCUGCUGCUGUGCCUUACACAGCGCUGUGGUGUGUUCUGCCACCCAAAGGAUGCAUGGAGCAAAACCUUAGACAAAGAAAAAUUUAGAAAUGUUAUGUGGUUUUGUAUAAACUAAUGGUCAUUUAACCAUCGAUACUUUUUAAAAGUAGGUACAGAAAUCUAAAAUGAAAAACAAUGCGUUAUAGACAGGACUGUCAUUAAAAUAAGACACUAAAAUGAGCUGUUGUUAAGAAAACAAGUGAUUCUUCAUACCUACCUUCCGGUAUGAAAUGUUUAAAAAUUAAAUCGUGGAGCUCAUUUAGAUGAGUGAACUGUUUAGAGAAUAGGAUGACCCCCAUUUUUCUUUCCAAAAGUUCCAAAAAUGAAAUCUAUUUAUUUUGAUAAUAAGGGCAUAAAUCAGAUCAUAUUAUUGUAAUAUUAAAUAAUUACACUUUCUCAUACAUUCUACACCAGAAAGUUACUAUGUUAAAUUUGACUUGUAUACUAGUAAUAAAUCACAUUUUUUCCUGUGUUACGUAUUUGUUUGUUAGUAGUCUGUACUCAGUUUGAAAAUAGAGCUAGCAUGUAUGAUUUUAGGAAAGUGGUCUUAGUCUGAAUUAUCUUGGAUAGAGUAAUUUACAUAUCUUCACAAGAUUACAGUUUGCUGUAUUUUGCAAUGUAUCAGAUUUAAAGAUUCUGUAGGUCUACAGAUGGUACCAUAUUGUACUACAAAACAAAUCAGAAGUGACUGCCCUAGAUCAGCAACAAAGUUUGGUAAGUUAAAAAAACAAAUGUUCAAAUUCAGAAUUCUUAACUUUUUUUUUUUUUUCUUGUAUUUUAGUUUGAAACUUUGUAAAAGAUAUAAUUUUUGUCUUGUGCUUUAGAAGUGUAAGACUAAUAAAACUUGCAAUUAUGACCAGCCCUUCAGCUUUUCUCUGUUAACUUAUGGGGUGACAGUGAAAUCAAUACAAAAUUAUUAUAGUUUCUACACUCCCUGACUGAAUACCAGCUGGAGGCAUAUACACAAGGUUGUCAUACAAAAAUAUAACCAUUCUUCAAAAAGCUAACUGGUAAAGUGAUCUUGGAAUAUGGACAAUAAACUAAUUUAUUUUUCUAAAUCUGUCAAUUCAUUUCUUGGCCUUGAUUACAAGGCAUAUAUUCCCUAACUCAACUCCAUCAUUUUUUUUUUCUAGUUAUGCUAGAAAUUAUUGAGUCUGUUAGCACAACCUCUCUGUAUUUUCACAGCAUGUUACAAUGCGUGCACAAAUUGUAUUCAUGUUUCAGUGUUUUAUGUUUUGAGACACAAAUAUGGGUCAAUAUAAACAAAUAUUAUAGUAUGUGCAUUUCUGAAAAUUGAUAUGAUUAAAAUUUUUGAAGUGUAUUUUUUCAGCUCUGAUGCUCAAAAUAUUGUCUAUGAUCUACAAGAUGGUGCAGAGCGAUACUUAUGCAACUAAAAGGUAACAGUGCAAUUCUAUAAUUUCAGAUAAAGUUUUAUUUUAAGAAUGCCACUGUGAAAAACAAACAGCCACUAGGAUAUAUACCUUUAGGAUAACAGAUUUCUCUAUGUGAAAUGCUAUACACUGAUUUUAUUAUCUAUGCCCUCAGUAAAAUGUUGUUCUCUGUUCUCAUAAGCUGACUAUUUCAAUAUUAUAAUUACAAAUACAUAUUUUGUCUUGAUAGGGAUAUAUAUUACUCAGAUACACAACUGUUUGGUAGCCAGAGUGUUGUGGACAAUAUAAUCAAUGACAUUUCUUGUAUGCUUAAGAUACCUCGGAGAAGUCUACAUAUAGUAAGUGGCUUAUUAUUAAUGUUUUGAUUCUGUUGUUAUUUCCCAAUCAUAUAGAUCAUACUGAAAGCUGAAAUAUCAAGAAAAAAAGUGAUUAUUAGGAAAUAUGUAGUUAAAAUAGAAAGUGUUAUUUGUGCAAAUGAAACCUUAUUAGGUUUUGAACACUCUGAAGGUUCCUUUCUUCAGAGAAAAUUCAUAGACUACAAGACAUCUGUUUCACAGUUUAUACUUGAAUGAUUUGCUAACUUGUGGUUUAAGUGAAAAUUUCAGGUGAGUCAGAGGUGUAAGGUUUGGACUUACUUUUAUUUCAUGCUUACAAGAAUUCUUUUGUAUCCAUAAAUGUAGUUGCUAACAUAACUUACUGUAAAUACACCUUUAUAUACAUGAUGACAGCAAUGUUGCUUUGGUUUUUAAAAGGUUGGUCUUAGCUGAUAACUACUUACUAUGUUGUUCCUCUCCCCCCCCACCCCUAGCCCCUUCCUCCCCAAGUUUCUUGUUUUGCCUGUGUAAUGCAGUAAAAUAAAAUCAUAUAACUUACAAUUUACUGUAUACAACUUAUUAUUUUUUUUUCAGCUGUCUACAACUAAAGGUUUUGUUGCUGGUAAUUUAAGUUAUACUGAGGAAGAUGGUACAAAAGUGAAUUGUACCUGUGGUGCAACAGUAUGUAUUAUAUAACAAUAACAGUAAUUAGAAUAAAUAGAAUAGUUUCAGUUGGAAGGAACUUACAUAGAUCACCAUCUACCUUUGUGGACUGCACUUCUUGUAGCUCAGUGUGCUGUAUACAUUUAUUAUACAGACCUGUAAUCGUGCUACCUAUGCAGCUACCAGCCAGUGAGUCCCCAUCUGCCUGAAUCUAACCCAGGUACAGCUUAUGGUCCCUCUCACUGUGUACUAGGUAAAGAACAUGAAUGAGAGCUGUGGACACUGUCUAGGGUAUGUGAAGGAGAAGGAAACAGAUGUAAAGAGGACAGGUCUGUAUAUAUGGUGUGGACUUGGGGAGAGGUUAUCAAAGGCAGUACUGAGCUAAAGAGAAGUCUAUACCCACAGCUUGAUAAGUAGUCAAGAGCCAGAAGUGUUUUGAGGAGAUGAGAUUCAACUAAUCUGGUCCUAUAAGAUUUCCCGUAGAUGAAAAGAUUAUGAAAGCAGGAGCAGAACUUAGAUUUGCUGACUGUUGUCAUGAUUUACUGGAAAAUCUAUUCAUUGUAAGCCUAAACUGAUGAUUUCAAAAUGGAAAGAUGACCUUAGCUGCCUAUUAUACUUUGUCUUAAAGUAAAGCAUAAAGACCCCUGUUAUUAAUACUCUUCUACAGCUCUUCAUAGUUUUAUUUGUUGAGUUGUUCCACACUGGCACCGGAGGUGAUUUAGCAGUCAGGAGUAAAAGCAGACCACACACUUCAAUGUAUAUAUAGUCUUUUGCCAAGUUCUUCCUCCAGUUCCUUUUUCUCAUCCAUAUGCUUGCCAGAUUGAGCCAAUCCUAAUAUGAGGUGUAAAGUAAACAUUACUGUGUCUUAAAACUGUUGCUCCAAGAUAGUUAUAAAAACAGGUUAUAGGUUAAUAAAAGAAAGGAUUAAAUGGUCUUCCAAAAAGAAUGCCUAAAUGUUUUAAACCUGUAUUAAAUUUUCAAUUUUCACAUCAAGAUGACUUUUCUUCUGGGUAAAAAAAGAUAAAAAAACGAAUCAAGACAUUGUUAUCUCUGUAAUGCCCAUAUGAUGAACAAUCUUUGGUGACAGUAGCACAAACAUGCUUUUGAAAAGCAUCUUGUUAUAACAGGAGGACUUCUAUAAGACCAUACAAUAGAACAGGAUAUAAAUGGUUGAAUGUACUUAUAAAGCAGUGAAAACGUCAAAAUCAAUCUUGUAUAUAAGAAGAUGAAUGGUUGUUUUAGGAUGUAAUUGUGUUCUUCAUUACCUAAUGUUGUUAUUUUAAAAUGUAUCAGUUUCUCUAUUAUAAAUGAUUAAUAUAAUUUUUGUUGUUUUAGGCAGUCACUGUGCCAUCUAAUGUUCAAGGAAUUAAAAAUUUAAACUCACAUGCCAAAUUUAUAUUAAUCGUAGAAAAAGAUGCAACUUUUCAGAGACUACUGGAUGAUGACUUCUGCAUUAAAUUGUCCCCAUGUAUAAUGAUUACGGUAUGCAACUUACAUCUUAUAUCAUCUUGUUAGACAUCAGAAUAGAGAAGACUUUACACUAUGCAGAAAACUACAUAUGUAUCAGCUACCCAUAAUAGUCAGUCAUAUCUAGAACUUGUUUUAUAUUGUUUCUUUAGUGCCUUAAGUAUUUUUGAGAAGAAAAAAGUGGCCUUUUAAUUUUUAUGCCAGUUUAUACAGAUACUGGAGUACAUCUGUGUGUCAACUCCCAGAGCUUACACAGAGAAAUGUAUGAUAAUUCUACAGGGCCUAUAAUCCAGGACAUCUGCAGUGCUGCUCCCAAACCCUUGUUCCUUCUUCCCUUCCCACAGAGAGAAAAUAAGAGUGUACCAUUUUCCCUGUGAGAUAGCUGCUGGAAAAAUAUUCCUGCAAACAUUUUGUUUGCUUGUUUUAAAUGGCAAAUGUAAACACACAUGUAGCCAGAUGUUGUUUUAAUUAAUUUAAAACUGUCUGCUUUAUUUUAUUUCCUUAGGGAAGAGGCAUACCAGAUCUGAAUACACGCCUUUUGGUCAGAAAGCUGUGGGAUACAUUUCAAAUUCCUGUUUUCACCCUUAUGGAUGCUGAUCCACAUGGUAAAUCUGUAGAGGUUCAGUAACAUAAAAAGAAAGCAGAAUUUAUUUAGAAUCUAGUUUCUCACUUUUAUGGGAAGGUGCUUAUGGCAUAGAGUGGGCAAUCCAACACAAACAGAAAGUUUCUGAUUUAUGCAGAAUAUGUCUAGGAGUACAGAAGUUUAACUGAGACAUCAGUACUGGCCUGAUUCCCACUCAACGUACUCUUAUUGUCUGUGAUGAUUUGCUGUGCUCUGAGGUCUUAAUAAAAUCUUGCUUUGUACCUAAAAAAUAUUUUUAUACAAUUUGUAGGUCGUAUUAGAACUAGAUUUUCACAAGACCUGUGGGCCUAGAAAUGAGAAUAAGCAUCAUGGAAUUUAUGACCCAUUGUACAAUUCCACUGAUUUUAAUGAGUUAUGCACCUGACUACUAUUUAAAGUCUCAGGAGGUCCUAGAUAAAUACUUUCAAAAAUGUAGCUCUGAUAAGAGUUCUAGCAGUUGGUUAAACUGCUCCUUUUGUAAAACCAAAAGAAAUAACAGGAACUUCCAUAAACAUUGCUUGGUUUGGUAUAAAACAGAAUUUUUGGUAUAAAACAGAAUUUUUGGAAAUUCAUAGGGUAGACAGAUAUGAAGAAAAUUGUAUUUUUGAACAAAGUGAGUCUUUUAUUGAUUUUUAAAGUAGUUUAUAUAGUCUUAUAUAAAUAAUUCAGCACUCAUGACGUCAAUAAUUUAUGCAGUGAAAUCUAGAACCUACUAGUAGGAUGCCAGCAGGAACAAAAUUAAUCUUAAAAUUGAGGCUGUGCUGGCAAAUGGGAAUGCUAAAGAUAUGAGGACUCAUCUCAAAAUAGUUACCUGGAUAUCGCUGUAUUGGACAUACUGGAAGUACUUCACAUCUCAUAGUUUUGGUGGGGUUGUUUGUUUGUUUUCUACUGAGAACAUGAACAGCUGUGAACUGCAGACUCAACGGUCAGUCUUAACUUAUCAAAAUUUGCAGAAUUUAUCUGUAAGUUACUUGUAUCAAAGAAUAGCCCAUAGGCUAUCUAUAUGUUUUGAAGAUCAUCUGCCCAAAAGCUGAAAUGCAAAUCCUAGACAUAGACUAAUCUGGAACUUCCUUUGUUACUGAAAAGUAAACGCUUUUUAAUUUUCACCCUGCCAUAUCAGAAAUAUCACAGUGGCAGAACUUUGCCGUUUUUUUUUUUUUCUUUCUUUCUUUUUUUCCCGUAAGAAGUGGGAAUGUGGCAUGAAAUCUGGAUUAUUUGCACUGUUUCAUUCCCACUGUCUGAGAGGCAACAUGACCAGAUUGAGCAUAUCGUGGAAUACUGUUUGCGUGGAAUACUGUUUGUCUUUAUUUUUUGUCUUUAUUUUUCUGUGGCCAUGCUGAGGGGAAGUUAAGAUGGGUCAGACUUCCUGAAGCUUAUAUGCUGUUGCUGUUGUGUGAAAUAAGCUUCAAAACCUUGUUCUGAUGAUUCAACUGCAGAACAGCUUGAUAGCAUAUACUUGGUUUUGUAAAUACUCUUUGAAAUGCAACUUUAUGUAAAUUAUUUCUUGGUUCAACCAGUUAAAAAUUAGAGAUGUUUAGGAUACUGACUGAGCCCUUUGUUGUGAAGAAAUACUUAAGGAGAAAACAGCAAUGGUGAAAAAACUUAGAGUUGUAGCUGGUAUGCUUUAAACCACAGUCUCUGGUGUCUGUAGUUCAAGAUAAAUAACUGAAUUUUAAGCUAAAAACAAGAAUUGGUGGUACUCUUCAGUAUACAUCGAAAAACUGCAUUAAUUAAUGCAUAUUUGCACUAUUCAAAUAUCUGGUAAAUGUUACUAAAUAUCUGGUAAAUGUUACUAAAUGUACUGUUUUUUUUUUUUUCCUUUUGUUUUUAUUGCAGAAAAUUUUGAGCAGAGCAGCACAGUUUAAAAAGAAAAAUAAGUUAUCAAAUCAGAAAAUAAAUCUGAUAGGCAUAGUUUUAUUUCACAAAAAAUCAAAGUCUGUCUGCUGACAAUUAAUAGAAUUGCUUAAAUGUAAAAUAUGUUUUAAGUAUUAAAUAAGUAAAGUACACACAAUGUUUUAACAAAGCCUGAAUACACAGCUGGGUGGGUUGUUGAUUUUUUUUCAAGCUCUUAAACAUCUCAUAACUGAAAUUUAGACCAAGCUGAAGUGUAUGAGAUUUUUAUCAGGAACUUUAAGAAAGUAAUUGCUAUAAUUUUGCUAUAAAGCAAUAGUGUUAAGAGAUAUGGAUUACACAAGAUUAAUGGAAAAAAAAAAAAAAAAAAAGACAAUAUUCCUGCCUGAUGUUGGACAACGUGUAUGAGAGCUGAUUAUCCUUGCUUCUGAAAUGACUAUGUGUGGACAGUGUGAAACAUUUUACUAUAUAAAGAUGAAUGAAUAGAUGAUACAUCAAAUUCUGAUUAUUUUGACAUACACUAAAAAUAAUUUUAAACCAUAAAGAACUUCACUAAUCAUAAUGUCAUAACUGUUAUGCCAUAAAAGUGAAUUCUUAAUGUAGUCUUCUUAAGCGUGGUGAUAAACAGACAUUUGAUAUUUUAUAUUCUCCAACCUAGGUAUAGAAAUAAUGUGCAUCUAUAAAUAUGGAUCUGUGGUGAGUAUAAUUUUUCCAUUUCAAAAUAUAUUAUUUUUUAGUCCUGCCUUGAAGCUUGGAUGUAGUAUGAGUUAGAAUAGUUACUACCUUUGGCAUUUUGUUUCAGCACAGACACAGUUUUUAGGCCUUCUGUAUCUGCAAAAACAGCUUCUUUCUGCAACAAAAAGAAACUGGAUAAUAAUGUCAGGUGUUUCAUUUAACCAUGUUUCACAGCUUUUUUCCUGCUGUACAGGUAGUUUUCAGGAAGUCCAAAUAGAAAAGUGUUCUUCAUUUUCUUUUGUUUCUGCCUUAGAAGACAAAUGAAGGCUGGGAAUGAAAAGAACAUAACUUGUGAGAUGGGUGAACUGCUUGAUUCUCCAUAAAAUCUUGUUGUCUUGGUAAAGAUUUUGUUUUGGGGUGAGAAGUUACGGAUACAUGUUUUAGUGUGGAACAUUAUGGAGGAAGAAGCAAAAGGAAUAAGAACGCAUAUUGUAAUACAUUGCUAAAAGAUGAGGUACAGAAAACAACAUGAAAGGCAGGCAGACUAAGGGGAGGGCAGAGAGUAGGAGCAGAUGUGUGAACUGUUUGGGAGACCAAUGGAGAAAACAUCCAAAGUUAAAAACAAACAAACAUAAAAACUCACACACAGAGCAAAACACAUAAAAACCCUUUGGAAACUAGUCAGACAAUUAUGUCCAAAGUCAAAUAUAUGUCAUAAUGUAUGUCUCAUGGACAUACAGGGAGCCAGAAUUCCCAAGUGUUCAGGUGACCCGUCAGGCUUUUAACCUUAGAAAUGCAUGUAAACUAAGAGAACACCAUCUUCAAGGAUUAAACUAAAUCCUCAGGUUCCUUUAAAAGUUUAUUUUGUUCAAUUGCAGAGUAACACAUGUAUCAAACUGAAACUCAAAUAUGCCAAAUCCAUUACCAACAGUGGAAGUAUUCCUUUGUACAACAUGUAAUUUAAAUCACAGAAUCACAGAAUCAUUUAGGUUGGAGAAGACCUCUAAAAUCAUCUAGUCCAGUCUGCUGUAGUGUGCUAUAGGUUUCAGAAGUUUUCAUGGAUUCUAAAAGCAAUCAGACAAAAUCAAACACUACUAAAUACUGUAACACCGCUUCUGGCUCAGAACGUUGGAGUCACAAACUGCUAGGAGUAGGAAUAGCAUUCUGAGAAGUAUCAUUUAUUGCAUAUUUGUUUUUACAGUUUUCCUUUAGAUAUUUCUGUAGCCAUGAUACUGGGUCAGAUGCCCUUAUGUUUGGGCUAUUUUUAUAUAAUGUGAUACUUUCCAGCAGAAAAUAUCAGAAAUUUUCAGUUGUAAUUGUCAUUGCUUCUCCUGGCUUCAGUUUUGUUUGGGAGACUCAUACUGACUGUGAAAAACAAACAAACAAAAAUCAAAACCUAUUCAGGCUACAAUCUCUUGUGGCUAAAUAGUGCAAGCCUUAAAGGAGAAUCUGUUUCCAGUAAGGGGAUAUGGUAAACUCCAGCUGCACCAUUUUCUCAUGUAACAUUCUGAUAAUAACAAAAAAAAUAACCACCUCUGCAAUAAAAUUUGUGAUCUAGGAAGGCAUAUAUCUCAAAUGACUUAAACUAAAAGUCACUGAAUGUUGUAGUUGACUCUUCUUGUUUCAGUCAAUGUCUUUUGAGGCCCAUCAUCUCACUGUUCCAUCUGUAAAGUGGCUUGGUCUCCUUCCAUCUGAUCUGAAGAGGUUAGUUUAUACCCAAAAGAAACAGAAGUAUUCUUCUUCUAUUUCAUAGAUAGUAAAUACCAUCUGACUUAAUGCACAAACAAACAACUGACACCUAUUAUUGUUUUCAUACAUUAUUUUUGGCUUAUUAUAAAGAAGUAAGUUGGAAUUGAUAUUUCUGAAAUAUAAGAGAAAAUUUAACAACAUUAUUUACUUUUCAGAUUAAAUAUAUGCAAAGAUGUCCUGAUUCCACUUACAAAGCAAGAUCAAAAUAAGUUAGCAAGUAUACAAAAGAGACCUUACAUUGCUUCUCAGCCAAUGUGGAAGAAAGAGGCAUGUACAAACCUAUUGUUUCU